GCAGUGGUGGUUCAGUGGUAGAAUUCUCACCUUCUGUGAGGGAGACCUGGGGUCGAUCCCAGCCAGUGCA
rnacentral:tRNA from 1 species